UACGAGGGGGCUAGCGUUGCUCGGAAUCACUGGGCGUAAAGCGCACGUAGGCGGAUCGUUAAGUCGGGGGUGAAAUCCUGGAGCUCAACUCCAGAACUGCCUUCGAUACUGGCGAUCUUGAGUCCGGAAGAGGUGAGUGGAACUCCUAGUGUAGAGGUGGAAUUCGUAGAUAUUAGGAAGAACACCAGUGGCGAAGGCGGCUCACUGGUCCGGUACUGACGCUGAGGUGCGAAAGCGUGGGGAGCAAACAGG
rnacentral:rRNA from 1 species